AGUGAAAAUUCUGAAUCACAUGGUAAUUUGAUUUUUAAUUUUUUGAGGAGCAGCCAUACUGUUUUCCACAGUAGUUGUACCAUUUUACAAUCACACCAGCAGU
rnacentral:pre_miRNA from 1 species